AGCAGCAGCCGCGGGAAUACGUAGGUCCCGAGCGUUGUCCGGAUUUAUUGGGCGUAAAGCGAGCGCAGGCGGUUAGAUAAGUCUGAAGUUAAAGGCUGUGGCUUAACCAUAGUACGCUUUGGAAACUGUUUAACUUGAGUGCAAGAGGGGAGAGUGGAAUUCCAUGUGUAGCGGUGAAAUGCGUAGAUAUAUGGAGGAACACCGGUGGCGAAAGCGGCUCUCUGGCUUGUAACUGACGCUGAGGCUCGAAAGCGUGGGGAGCAAACAGGAUUAGAUACCCCAGUAGUCCCUGUCUCUUAUACA
rnacentral:rRNA from 1 species